UAACAACAUGUCUUUUUGUAAAUUAUAAAAAGUCUAAUCUGCCCACUGAAUUUAUUUAAAGGGCUGCAGUAUAUUGACUGUACAAAGGUAGCAUAAUCAAUAGUCUUUUAAUUGAAGACUUGUAUGAAUGAUUUGAUGAAAUAUAAACUGUCUCUUUAUUAAAAAUAAAAUUUAAUUUUUUAGUUAAAAAGCUAAAAUAAUUAUAAAAGACGAGAAGACCCUAUAGAGUUUUAUAUUUAUUUUAUUUAGAAAUUAUUUAUAUAAUUUAAAUAUAUAAUAAUUUAAAUAUUUUAUUGGGGUGAUAGAAAAAUUAAAUAAACUUUUUUUAAAUUUUAACAUUAAUUUAUGAAAUUAUGAUCCAUAAUUUAUGAUUAAAAGAAAAAAUUACCUUAGGGAUAACAGCGUAAUUUUUUUUUUUAGUUCAAAUAAAAAAAAGAGUUUGCGACCUCGAUGUUGGAUUAAGAUAAAAUUUAAAUGCAAAAGUUUAAAAUUUUUGAUCUGUUCGAUCAUUAAAAUCUUACAUGAUCUGA
rnacentral:rRNA from 1 species